UACGGAGGGUGCAAGCGUUGUUCGGAAUCAUUGGGCGUAAAGAGCGUGUAGGCGGCUAGGAAAGUCAGAUGUGAAAGCCCUGGGCUCAACCCAGGAAGUGCAUUUGAAACUCUCUAACUUGAGUACGGGAGAGGAGGGGGGAAUUCCCGGUGUAGAGGUGAAAUUCGUAGAUAUCGGGAGGAAUACCGGUGGCGAAGGCGCCCCUCUGGACCGAUACUGACGCUGAGACGCGAAAGCGUGGGGAGCAAACAGG
rnacentral:rRNA from 1 species